rnacentral:rRNA from 1 species
CACGGAUGGGGCAAGCGUUGUUCGGAAUCACUGGGCGUAAAGGGCGUGUAGGCGGGCCGGGAAGUCUGGCGUGAAAGGUUGCAGCCCAACUGACGGACUGCGCUUGAUACUGGCGGUCUGGAGUCACGGUGGGGUGGCCGGAAUUUGAGGUGUAGGGGUGAAAUGUUUAGAGAUCUGAAAGAACGCCGGUGGCGAAGGCGGGCUUCUGGACGAUGACUGACGCUGAGGCGCGAAAGCGUGGGGAGCGAACAGG